GCAUAUCAAUAAGCGGAGGAAAAGAAACCAACAGGGAUUGCCCUAGUAACGGCGAGUGAAGCGGCAACAGCUCAAAUUUGAAAGCUAGCCUUCGGGUUCGCAUUGUAAUUUGUAGAGGAUGCUUUGGGUAAAACGCCAGUCUAAGUUCCUUGGAACAGGACGUCAUAGAGGGUGAGAAUCCCGUAUGUGACUGGAAAUGUUAACCUAUGUAAAGCUCCUUCGACGAGUCGAGUUGUUUGGGAAUGCAGCUCUAAAUGGGAGGUAAAUUUCUUCUAAAGCUAAAUAUUGGCGAGAGACCGAUAGCGCACAAGUAGAGUGAUCGAAAGAUGAAAAGCACUUUGGAAAGAGAGUUAAAAAGCACGUGAAAUUGUUGAAAGGGAAGCGCUUGCAAUCAGACUUGUUUAAACUGUUCGGCCGGUCUUCUGACCGGUUUACUCAGUUUGGACAGGCCAGCAUCAGUUUCGGCGGCCGGAUAAAGGCUCUGGGAAUGUGGCCUCCACUUCGGUGGAGGUGUUAUAGCCCAGUGUGUAAUACGGCCAGCCGGGACUGAGGUCCGCGCUUCGGCUAGGAUGCGG
rnacentral:rRNA from 1 species